GACUUCAUGCUGUCAAUUCAAGUAUCUGCCUUCAGUGUCUCGCCCUGUAGUAAGAGGUGGUAACUGACCUUCCAGAGUCCCCAGAGGGCCCAAGGAUGGUGUUGGGCAUGCAGGAGACUGGCACACUGUAAAGCCCUCUUCAAAAGCCAGCAAGAAGCCAGGGACACUCGUGUGAUAAUUAGGUAUUUGUGAACUAACUUCCAGCAGCCUUUGGAUGAGGAGGCCAAGCAUGUUUACAGUUUUCUUCUGGAUACCUGCACAAGGCCAAACUUGCCAGUGAAAGAUUCCAUCUUGACUGGGUCCAAACAGGUACCAGGUCUGGUGCAGGGGACACAGAGGUGGGCCAAGCACAAGGCCCCUCCCCAUAUCGGACCAUGAGGAAAAAGCAACCAGUACACAGAGGGAGGACUGAGGUAAU
rnacentral:lncRNA from 12 species